rnacentral:rRNA from 1 species
CUAAUACAUGCAAGUCGAGCGCGGGAAGCAGACAGAAGCCUUCGGGCGGACGUCUGUGGAACGAGCGGCGGAUGGGUGAGUAACACGUGGGUAACCUGCCUGUAAGCCUGGGAUAACUCGCGGAAACGCGAGCUAAUACCGGAUGACACGAAAGUUCGCAUGAACUUUUGUUGAAAGGCGGCUUUUAGCUGUCACUUACAGAUGGGCCCGCGGCGCAUUAGCUAGUUGGUGAGGUAACGGCUUACCUAGGCGACGAUGCGUAGCCGACCUGAGAGGGUGAUCGGCCACACUGGGACUGAGACACGGCCCAGACUCCUACGGGAGGCAGCAGUAGGGAAUCUUCCGCAAUGGACGAAAGUCUGACGGAGCAACGCCGCGUGAGUGAUGAAGGUCUUCGGAUCGUAAAACUCUGUUGUUAGGGAAGAACAAGUAUAAGGCGAAUAACCUUAUACCUUGACGGUACCUAACCAGAAAGCCCCGGCUAACUACGUGCCAGCAGCCGCGGUAAUACGUAGGGGGCGAGCGUUGUCCGGAAUUAUUGGGCGUAAAGGGUGCGUAGGCGGUCUUCUAAGUCUGAUGUGAAAGCCCCCGGCUUAACCGGGGAGGGUCAUUGGAAACUGGAAGACUUGAGUGCAGAAGAGGAGAGCGGAAUUCCACGUGUAGCGGUGAAAUGCGUAGAGAUGUGGAGGAACACCAGUGGCGAAGGCGG